UACGUAGGGUGCAAGCGUUAAUCGGAAUUACUGGGCGUAAAGGGUGCGCAGGCGGCCGUGUGUGUGAGGCGUGAAAGCCCGGAGCUCAACUCCGGAAUUGCACCUCAAACUACACGGCUAGAGCGAUUGGAGAGGGUAGCGGAAUUCAACGGUGUAGCAGUGAAAUGCGUAGAUAUCGAUGAGGAACACCAGAGGCGAAGGCGGCUACCUGGACAAUUGCUGACGCU
rnacentral:rRNA from 1 species